rnacentral:rRNA from 1 species
UGCGAGCGUUAAUCGGAAUUACUGGGCGUAAAGACGCAUGCAGGCGGCCGUGUUAAGUCAGAUGUGAAAGACCCGGGGCGUUAACCCUACGGAAAUUGCAUUUGUAAACUAGGCAGGCUAGAGUCUUGUAGAGGGGGGGUAGGAAGUUUCAGGUGUAGCGGUGAAAUGCGUAGAGAUCUGAAGGAAUACCAGUGGCGAAGGCGGCCCCCUCGGACAAAGACUGACGCUCAGAUGCGAAAGCGUGGGGAGCAAACAGGAUUAGAUACCCCUGGUAG